rfam:Nicotiana attenuata strain TT chromosome 5, whole genome shotgun sequence.
GUCUCUGGGGACAUCCGACAAAAUUGGAAUGAUGCACAGAAGAUUAGCAUGGCCCUUGCACAAGGAUUAUACGCACAAAUCGAGAAAUUAUCCCAGCAAACUAUU